CAACGGGAGAACACACACAUUCAAGACGCGGGUGUGUGUGUGUGUGUGUGUCAGUGUGUGUGCCGGAUCCUCCUGACCACGGAUACCGACGCACGGUCCCUCGCGGGGCUCUCAGCCGCAGCCCGCCGUGCGCACAGAUGCUGUGGGAUUUAUCGAUGUGAUCCACGCGCUCACCCGCUGUCGAGCCAGAGGCUGCAGCACAUCUGGAGGCUGCCUGAUGCGAGCCUGUCCACUGGGCGAGGAUGUGGUUUUUAUUUCAGCUCCACGGAUGCAGGCUUCAUCUGGCUUCGUGGAAAGAGACCUCAGUGUUCCCUUUCUGUUGUUCUGGCAAACAGCGGAGCCUGUUCCUGUCUUUGGUUAUCUAGCUGUAUGAGUGUUAACCGUCCUUCAUAAAGCUAGAUAACCGAAAGUAGGAAUGACCUCCAAAUCUUCAGCUUCCUGCAUUAAUAAGAAGAAACAAGAAGAAGAAGAUUAAAAAACACAUAUACCAACACUGGAGGAUGUGGAGUCCUUUUUCCGAAAAGAACCUCAACAAUGCCGAUGCCACCUUACUGUGGACGAUCUACAGCAUCAGUGUGUCAAUCACAUGGAUUCCCUGGAAAAACAUGGGCUUUUGUGCAAUCAAGCAACGGCAUGAAAAAGUUCUCUCCUCCAUGAAUGAACUUCAAGUGUUCAUGACUGAAUACAGUUUGAACUUGCAUCAAGACAGUCAGUGUGAAAAAGAGUUUUGAUUCUUCCUUCCUUACACUUCUGUCUGAGUGUUAUUUGAGAAUCCUGUCAAAAUAAAAGGAUCUGGAUGGAUUUAUAUUGAUAUUUUAUUGAUUAUGUUAUUUGAAAUUAUCAGAGAGAGUGUAGUGAAAUGUUUUUGUUCUUAAUUGAAUAAAAGACUUGUCGUAGAAACAUGA